ACACUCGUCUCCACACCUCCUACCUCAAAGUCCUACGCACCUACCCUUCACGUCUCUCCAAAGCAACUGAAUUAAAGCGCCUACUGGCCUUGGCGGCGCAGGUCCCAAGAUUUUGACUGAUUGGUUGUACGACUAGAGUUGCUGGAGUUCAAGUAUUUUCAUUUUAACUAUUCAACUGAAAGCAGUGCGUUACAACAGAACACGGGUUCCAAAGAAUUUACUGAGAAGAAGCAAAGUAAUACUUGGGAGAACUAUAAUACACAGGCAUCUCAUGAAAAUCAUCCAACAUAUAGAAGAAUAUAUAGAAUAAAGCAAAAAUCAUCAGAAACUCCACCGUCUUGGAUGACCAUAGUUGAUAUUCUGAAUGGCUUCUGUUCCGAUUGAACCUUGACUGAUGUAGCACCUAUCACCAAAUUGCUGUUCAGGAAAUAUGUCCUAAAGAAACUCCCAACAGCAGCAAUACAUCAGAGUGGCACCUCUUUACACUGGUUCUUGAAAGAAAAACAAAAGUGUCCAAGUGACUCAUCUUACAGCGCCACUGGAAAGCAUGGCAGAGCUUCAUUAGAACUAAAUUUUAACAAGUGGCUAAAGCAGAGAGCACAGGGAAUAUGACUUCUUCUGUGAUCACUCUGCCAGCCCUUGUUCUCCCAUUAGGAG
rnacentral:lncRNA from 10 species